GUUGUAGCUCAGUGGCAGACACAUUACUUUGCGUGAAGAAGGUCCCAGGUUCAAUCCCUGCCAUCUACA